GCACUAUAGGAACAGAGUUAAACAGAAUUUUCAAAAGGUAGGUGUGUGUGUGUGUGUGUGUUGUUGUGUGUGUGUGUGGUUGUGGCACAGUUGGUAGAGUGUUUGCCUUGCAUGCAUAAAGCCCUGGGUUUGAUCCCAAACCUGGUCUGGUAUUGUAUCAUUCCAGCACCCAAGAAGUGGUACACCCUAUUAAUCCCAGCACUGUGACGGUGGAGGUAAGAAGUUCUCUGUCAGUUUCAGAGGUGAGGCCAGCCUCAUCUACACAGAGAGUUUCAGACAGCCAUGGCUACAUAGAGAGACUGUCAGGAAGAGAGAGAGAGAGAGAGAGAGAGAGAGAGAAGGGAAAGUCAUAGACAGGAAGAACAGAAGUUCUACGUUAUCUUUAGCUAUAUAUUUAUAUAUUGAGUUCUGGGAUACAUAAGACCGUCUCAAAAAAAAGUUCCCAGAUGGGGCUGGAGAGAUGGUUCAGUGGUUAAGAGCACUGACUGCUCUUCCAAAGGUCCUGAGUUCAAUUUGCAGCAACCACAUCACAUGGUGGUGGCCCACGCCUCUAAUCCCAGUGCUUAGCAGGCAGAGGCAGGCAGAUCUUUUGCGAGUUCAAGGCCAGAGUAGUUUACAUAGCCAGGCCAGCCACACCACAUGGUGAAACCCUCUUCUCAAAAGAGAGACAAAAACAACUUGAGGGAUCUGAGUCUGGUGUGCACGCCUGUAAUCCCAGCUCUGUACAUACUGAGGCUGGAGAACCACGCCUCGGAGGCCAGCCUUUGCAAGUGCCUAGGUAUGAUCUUUGGCACAACAAAACUAGAUAAACAAAUACAUUGGAAAAAAGGUUGAACUAUGAGGUGGUGGCCCACACCUUUAAUCCCAGCAUUGGGAGGCAGAGGCAGGUGGAUCUCUGUGAGUUGGGGGCUUGCCUGGGCUACAUGGACAGUCAGGGCUACAUGGAGGAACCCUGUCUUGAAAUUCCCUUGUAUACCACCCCCCC
rnacentral:lncRNA from 1 species